rnacentral:rRNA from 1 species
UACGUAGGGUGCAAGCGUUGUCCGGAUUUAUUGGGCGUAAAGAGCUCGUAGGCGGUCAGUCGCGUCGAUCGUGAAAGCCCGAGGCUCAACCUCGGAAUUGCGGUCGAUACGGGCAGGCUAGAGGUAGGUAGGGGAGAAUGGAAUUCCCGGUGUAGCGGUGAAAUGCGCAGAUAUCGGGAGGAACACCGGUGGCGAAGGCGGUUCUCUGGGCCUUACCUGACGCUGAGGAGCGAAAGCGUGGGGAGCGAACAGG